rnacentral:rRNA from 1 species
AUUGAACGCUGGCGGCAGGCCUAACACAUGCAAGUCGAACGAGUGGCGGACGGGUGAGUAAUGUCUGGGAAACUGCCCGAUGGAGGGGGAUAACUACUGGAAACGGUAGCUAAUAACGCAUACCAUCGGAUGUGCCCAGAUGGGAUUAGCUAGUAGGGAGGGUAAAGGCUCACCUAGGCGACGAUCCCUAGCGGGUCUGAGAGGAUGACCAUCCACACUGGAACUGAGACACGGUCCAGACUCCUACGGGAGGCAGCAGUGGGGAAUAUUGCACAAUGGGCGCAAGCCUGAUGCAGCCAUGACGGGUGUGUGAAGAAGGCCUUCGGAUUGUAAAGUACUUUCGGCGGGGAAGCGUGACCAACAGAGGAAGGACCGGCUAACUCCGUGCCAGCCGCCGCGGUAAUUC